rnacentral:rRNA from 1 species
CUUUAAUCAGUGAAACUGAUCUCCUCNNNNNAAGAAGCGAGGAUAUACUCAUAAGACGAGAAGACCCCAUGGAGCUUAAAACUUAUACCACUGCCUUCAACUAUACCCACAAACCAGGCAAUCAUGGUAACUAGUCUUUCGGUUGGGGCGACCACGGAGAAAAACCAAACCUCCACGAUGAAAGGAGUACCCUAAUUUAAGAGCCACUACUCUAAAAAUCAAUAAAUUGACAUAAAUUGACCCAAACAUUUUGAUCAACGAACCAAGUUACCCUGGGGAUAACAGCGCAAUCCAUUUCAAGAGACCCCAUCGACAAAUGGG